rnacentral:rRNA from 1 species
UCCUACGGGAGGCAGCAGUGAGGAAUAUUGCACAAUGGAGGAAACUCUGAUGCAGCAACGCCGCGUGGAGGAUGACGCAUUUCGGUGUGUAAACUCCUUUUAUUAGGGAAGAUAAUGACGGUACCUAAUGAAUAAGCACCGGCUAACUCCGUGCCAGCAGCCGCGGUAAUAAU